AAAUAAGAAGAGUAAGACAAUCUCAGUUACCCACACACAAACUGGAUAAAUGUCUCCUAUGGACAAGCUUAAGAGACAUGGUGUUUGCAUGCAAAUAAAAUAAAUGACUGCUUCAUAGCACAUGUAGUAUUAGAAUCUACUAGAAAAAAAUGUUAUUUUAUUUUUCUUUUUUUUUUUUUCUAUUCUAGAUUUUAUUUUCAGUGGCACUGAGGGUUGAUAGGGCCACAGGAGGAAGGCCCAAAGACCACUCUUCAUUAAUGGCACAUGUCUGUUCCAUCCAUAAACAGAGAUCUACAGGGUGUCCUGAGAACUGUUGAUUAGCAAGUCUGAUUUCCAGUCCUAGUAAGGCAGUUUAAUCUGUGAUGAAGAGAAAGAACAUUGUGCUCUUAUGCCCAUCAGCACACAGCAAACAUGAUGCACAGGGCACAGACUGAGUAGCUCCAUGGAAAUCAGCAGACAUCACAGAUCCCCUGAGGAGCUCAGUUGAUGUUGAGAGCUUAUUUCACCAACAGGCUGAAAUGAUUCAGAACUCUCCUGGUCUGGAAUACAAGUCUUGCGAUGAGUGGAUGUGGGAUCUCGGAUUGUUUAUUCUAGAAAAGAGGAGGCUCAGGACAGAUCUUACCACUCACUCUGCAAUGACCUGAAAGAAGGCUGUAGCAAGAAAUCUAUUAACCAAAGAGUCUGGAGCAGCCACUCAUAAAGUACUGAAGACCAAAUUCACCAAUAUUGUAUUUGAAGAUGAAACUCAGACCAGUUUGGACUCACAACUGGAUGUGUAAGGACACAUUCUUGCAUUCAGAUGAGAUAGAUGGAAUGAUUUUCGGCAUUGCUCAUGUACCUUGGGCAUGGAAGGUGGACUUCAAAGUGAAAGUAUAUCUGCUCAGCAUCUUCUCAUCUGUGAGGCUGACACAUGCCACUUGGAGAACAAAAGUGACUUUAGGAAGGAAUGACACUAAUUUUCAAAAAUCAAAGCCUUAAGCCUGCAUUCUAUAUUUUUAUGCUGACAAGUCAUUGACAAGAGUAUCAAGAAAUGGAGGCCACAAGAAACCUACAAAUUCCCUGCAGAAGGAUACCUGGGACAUAAUCAGGAUGAGUGAGUACUGAUGCAGUGUAGGCAUGUGAAGAAAUACUAAGGGAUUCUUAUCAGUAGGCCUUUAAGAAUUAUCAUUGCUCGAAACACUUUGUUGACCUUGAUGCCUAAAGCUAUACUGCUUUAUCAAUAUGAAGGGGAGGAUUUCACAGACUGUAGUCCAGGCAAAUGCCUUGGAUACUUUGAAGAAUGAAAAUGAAGAGUGACCAUAUCUUCUGGGGUCAACCUGAGACUGUAUUUCUGACUCUUUCUGAAUUGGCUAAGCACUCUUUCUUGAUAGAUCAGCUCAAUAGUGAAGAGAUGAUAGGUGGAGAUUCCAAUUUUUUUUUAAUGGCUUGGCAAGGAAGGCCCAAAAAUUACUAAGGACAGCAAAUGUGAGACAAAGCAGACGAUGUGAGGAAAGGAAAAGCCUCACCUUUUAUUCACGCUUAUUGUAAAAACGUUAUUUAUGGGCUAAUAAGUAUGGACUAAUUUAUGGACUAAUUCAUCAGUACCUGAUGAAUGACAGCCACUUGACUCGUAUAAACUCUGUCCCUUAAUGUGAUCCAUGAAUGAAGAUUGUGAACUCAUGCAGCGUCUCAUUAAAGAUCUGCUAAAAAGAUAUUGGAAAAUUACAGAAGUUCAGAUUGGAAGAUUACAAGCACACCUAUGCUUAUGCUGAUCUGAAACUAAAGUCAUAUAUUUAUUAUUGUAUAUCUUAUGGAAAUAAUGGUGGUGUUAUUUGUGAGUAGUUUCUUAGUUAUACUAAAUUCUGGUUUCUUAGAAAUACUUCCUUUGUAAAUGAUGAGCUAACGCUGAGGGGAAAAAUGCUAUUAUGAUUUUAUGGCAGCCAAGAGGUAUUAUUUAAUGCAAAAACCAUUAGCACAAGGUCAUAAUUAUGCAGUCACUUGAAAUGCCCUCUUUUAAGAUACUCUGAAAUUCUGUUUACUUUCUUUAAAAACUCAUGACUAUGUAUCAUAAAGAUAGAAAUUGUACAUAUACCUGUAUUUACUUAUUUACAUUUCAAAUUAUAGAAAUUUCUGUCCAAAACAGCAGGGUUUCUUCAUAACUAUUCAUGUUUCCAACACAAUAGGACAAAAGGAGAAACUCCAAAGGAAAUACAAAGGACUUUUUAGGUCUCAGGGAUAUUUUCUCAAUCAUUACCAUUAUCCUAAUCCUUAGAAUGAAAAGUUGUAAAGCACAAAUAGGAAAAUGAAGAGAAAACAAUACAGUUCCUCUUGCAUAUUAUCUGUAGAUAAAUGUUCAGAUUAAGAGUGAUUUUGAUUUGUUUCUAAAUCAACAUUACUUUUUGUGUUCCUUAAGGAAUAACAAGUUACAUCUUUAGCUGCAAGUAGCAAAGAAUUUUCUAAAGACAGUAGUUAUUUUUAACAGUAGUUAAUAGCUUGUGACUUUAUUCACAUUUUCCACAAAUUCUUACUGAGAGGAUUUGUUACAGUAGAAAAAAGUUCCUGCUCUGUAGCAGGAAAUUUGUUUGAAGCCUAUUUUCAAAUGGCUAUUUGAACCCGUCAUAUAUUUAUACUUUUAAAAGCACAUAACCCAAUUUUCUUUUCUCUAACAUAUGACCUUUGUUUCUUUAUGAUAAAGACACCAUGAAAGAGCUUUUGCUAUUCUAUUUUGAAGGCUUUCAUUCUCUGCCAUUGUUAAAUCAUAAAAAUAUCAGUAAUGUCAUAUAAGUUUUGUGAAAAGAUUCAUUUAAGGUACUUCUACCUCCAUUCAGAUCUUUGUUGAUUAAAACUGAAAGAGAGAACAUGCGAUGUCAUUAGAAAUUUGCAUAUACUAUUUUCCAACUAAGUGAUCAGAGGUGCUAAAAAGAAACUAUCACACAAGCUGGUUGAUGGCAUGAUGGCACAAUGGCAUGAUCACAUAAGAAUCAUGCAUGCCUGUCUUGGAUGAAUUGACCUUUUAUUUCCACAAAAUUUUGAAAAAAGCUAUAUGCUUCCUAAAUGAGUUCUUUGAAAGAGUCAGCAAUUGUGUGGAGAAAAUUUCACAUCUAAUAUUAUAUUCUUGGAUUCCCAAAACUCUUAUGAUGGAUUUUAAAGAAACUAAACUGUCAUGCAGGAAAAUACUUUUGCACAUACGUACAUAAUUGAAGAAUAUAUAACAAAUAUGAAUAAAUCCUUAUUCCUCAAGGAGAUUGUCAGAGUCCCAUAUGGGGCCAUCUUACAUUCCUAAACAUUCUGCAAUACAGGUUGAAUAAUGAGAUGAAAAAGUAAGCAAACUAUACAAGAUUGACCUCACUGUUUAAAACUAAAAGUGACCACAGUGCUCCCCAUGUAAGCAUUUCAUAAUGUUGAGUAGCAGAUUGAUAAAAUGAAAAAUAAAAUUCAUAGCCAGUAAUUGUCAUAAUGCAUGUGGUAAAAAUAAGCUCAACUAUACCUACAAAUGCUGAACUCUGAAUGGAAUUCUAUCAGAUGGGAUAUGGAAGUUUUAGGUUUUUUAAUGUACAUAUAUUUAUGGUCUGCAACUCAAUGCUUAGUCAAAAGAAAAAUUGAAUGCCAGGAAAAAUUGAGAAGAUAAUUGAAAAUAAAAGAGGAACUCAUUAUAUUUCUGAUGCAAACUGCUGUUAAUUAUCAUGCCUUGUUCUGGUGAUUCCACCUCAAAAUAAAUAGAUAGAUA